CAGUAGCCGCGGGAAUACGAAGGGUGCAAGCGUUACUCGGAAUUACUGGGCGUAAAGCGUGCGUAGGUGGUGGUUUAAGUCCGUUGUGAAAGCCCUGGGCCCAACCUGGGAAUUGCAGUGGAUACUGGGUCACUAGAGCGUGGUAGAGGAUAGUGGAAUUUCCGGUGUAGCAGUGAAAUGCGUAGAGAUCGGAAGGAACAUCUGUGGCGAAGGCGACUAUCUGGGCCAACACUGACACUGAGGCACGAAAGCGUGGGGAGCAAACAGGAUUAGAUACCCGAGUAGUCCCUGUCUCUUAUAA
rnacentral:rRNA from 1 species